rnacentral:rRNA from 1 species
UACGGAGGGUGCGAGCGUUGUUCGGAAUCACUGGGCGUAAAGCGCGUGUAGGCGGCCCACUAAGUCUGAUGUGAAAUCACGUGGCUCAACCACGUGCGGUCAUUGGAAACUGGAGGACUUGAGUGCAGAAGAGGAAAGUGGAAUUCCAAGUGUAGCGGUGAAAUGCGUAGAGAUCGUAAGGAAGACCAGUGGCGAAGGCGGGUCUCUGGACAGUUCCUGACACUGAGGCACGAAGGCCAGGGGAGCAAACGGG